rnacentral:rRNA from 1 species
GACGAACGCUGGCGGCGUGCUUAACACAUGCAAGUCGAACGGUGAUGCUCCAGCUUGCUGGAGUGGAUCAGUGGCGAACGGGUGAGUAACACGUGAGCAACCUGCCCCAGACUCUGGAAUAAGCGCUGGAAACGGCGUCUAAUACUGGAUACGAAACUGGCCCGCAUGGGCAUGGUUUGGAAAGUUAUUCGGUUUGGGAUGGGCUCGCGGCCUAUCAGCUUGUUGGUGAGGUAAUGGCUCACCAAGGCGACGACGGGUAGCCGGCCUGAGAGGGCGACCGGCGACAAUGGGACUGAGACACGGAGCAGAGGGCUACGGGAGGCAGCAGUGGGGAAUAUUGCACAAUGGGCGCAAGCCGGAUGCAGCGACGCCGCGUGAGGGAUGACGGCCUUCGGGUUGUAAACCUCUUUCAGCAGGGAAGAAGCGAAAGUGACGGUACCUGCAGAAGAAGCACCGGCUAACUACGUG